UGAGGAAUAUUGGUCAAUGGACGAGAGUCUGAACCAGCCAAGUAGCGUGAAGGAUGACUGCCCUAUGGGUUGUAAACUUCUUUUAUAUGGGAAUAAAGUGAUCCACGUGUGGAUUUUUGUAUGUACCAUAUGAAUAAGGAUCGGCUAACUCCGUGCCAGCAGCCGCGGUAAUACGGAGGAUCCGAGCGUUAUCCGGAUUUAUUGGGUUUAAAGGGAGCGUAGGUGGACAGUUAAGUCAGUUGUGAAAGUUUGCGGCUCAACCGUAAAAUUGCAGUUGAUACUGGCUGUCUUGAGUACAGUAGAGGUGGGCGGAAUUCGUGGUGUAGCGGUGAAAUGCUUAGAUAUCACGAAGAACUCCGAUUGCGAAGGCAGCUCACUGGACUGCAACUGACACUGAUGCUCGAAAGUGUGGGUAUCAAACAGGAUUAGAUACCCUGGUAGUCCACACAGUAAACGAUGAAUACUCGCUGUUUGCGAUAUACAGUAAGCGGCCAAGCGAAAGCAUUAAGUAUUCCACCUGGGGAGUACGCCGGCAACGGUGAAACUCAAAGGAAUUGACGGGGGCCCGCACAAGCGGAGGAACAUGUGGUUUAAUUCGAUGAUACGCGAGGAACCUUACCCGGGCUUAAAUUGCAUUUGAAUAAUCAAGAAAUUGGUUAGUCGUAAGACAAAUGUGAAGGUGCUGCAUGGUUGUCGUCAGCUCGUGCCGUGAGGUGUCGGCUUAAGUGCCAUAACGAGCGCAACCCUUAUCUUCAGUUACUAACAGGUCAUGCUGAGGACUCUGGAGAGACUGCCGUCGUAAGAUGUGAGGAAGGUGGGGAUGACGUCAAAUCAGCACGGCCCUUACGUCCGGGGCUACACACGUGUUACAAUGGGGGGUACAGAAGGCCGCUACCUGGUGACAGGAUGCUAAUCCCAAAAGCCUCUCUCAGUUCGGAUCGAAGUCUGCAACCCGACUUCGUGAAGCUGGAUUCGCUAGUAAUCGCGCAUCAGCCAUGGCGCGGUGAAUACGUUCCC
rnacentral:rRNA from 1 species